UACAGAGGUCCCAAGCGUUGUUCGGAUUCACUGGGCGUAAAGGGUGCGUAGGUGGUGAGGUAAGUCGGAUGUGAAAGCUCGGAGCUCAACUCCGAAAUGGCAUUGGAAACUACCUUGCUCGAGGGUUGGAGGGGGGAUUGGAAUACUUGGUGUAGCAGUGAAAUGCGUAGAUAUCAAGUGGAACACCAGUGGCGAAGGCGAGUCCCUGGACAACUCCUGACACUGAGGAGCGAAAGCGUGGGGAGCGAACAGG
rnacentral:rRNA from 1 species